rnacentral:rRNA from 1 species
GAGUUUGAUCCUGGCUCAGAUUGAACGCUGGCGGCAGGCCUAACACAUGCAAGUCGAGCGGUAGAGAGAAGCUUGCUUCUCUUGAGAGCGGCGGACGGGUGAGUAAUGCCUAGGAAUCUGCCUGGUAGUGGGGGAUAACGUUCGGAAACGGACGCUAAUACCGCAUACGUCCUACGGGAGAAAGCAGGGGACCUUCGGGCCUUGCGCUAUCAGAUGAGCCUAGGUCGGAUUAGCUAGUUGGUGGGGUAAUGGCUCACCAAGGCGACGAUCCGUAACUGGUCUGAGAGGAUGAUCAGUCACACUGGAACUGAGACACGGUCCAGACUCCUACGGGAGGCAGCAGUGGGGAAUAUUGGACAAUGGGCGAAAGCCUGAUCCAGCCAUGCCGCGUGUGUGAAGAAGGUCUUCGGAUUGUAAAGCACUUUAAGUUGGGAGGAAGAGCAGUAAAUUAAUACUUUGCUGUUUUGACGUUACCGACAGAAUAAGCACCGGCUAACUCUGUGCCAGCAGCCGCGGUAAUACAGAGGGUGCAAGCGUUAAUCGGAAUUACUGGGCGUAAAGCGCGCGUAGGUGGUUCGUUAAGUUGGAUGUGAAAUCCCCGGGCUCAACCUGGGAACUGCAUUCAAAACUGACGAGCUAGAGUAUGGUA